CGCUCUUCGCUAAAGGUUCUAGUGUAUGAGGAGUCCUGCCUGCCCAGUGACUUUAGUGGUUAAACGGCCGCGGUAUUUUGACCGUGCAAAGGUAGCAUAAUCAUUUGCCUCUUAAAUAGAGGCUGGUAUGAAUGGCAAGACGGAGGUUUGACUGUCUCUUUUUUAAGGAGGUUGAAUUUAAUAUCUUUGUGAAGAAGCAAGGAUAAGAUCGUAGGACGAGAAGACCCUNUNGAGCUUUGUUGAGUAUUCUUAUGCUAAUUUAUUUUCGGUAGAGACUAUGGAAUUUACGUAAGAUAUGAGUGUGCUGUAUUAUUUCUUGUUUUGGUUGGGGCAAUCGCGGAGUAAAUGUAACCUCCGUUGUAAAUAUUGAUAUUUUAAAGUGACUUCUUUUGUAGUAUAAAAUGUGUAUUUAUGAUCCACUGGGAAAGUGAGUAAARGAANAAGUUACCRYAGGGAUAACAGCGUAAUUUUCUUCGAGAGUUCGUAUUGAUAAGAAAGUUUGCGACCUCGAUGUUGGAUCGGGAUAUCCAGGAGAUGCAGCAGUUUCCAAGGGUUGGUCUGUUCAACCAUUAAAAUCCU
rnacentral:rRNA from 1 species